rnacentral:rRNA from 1 species
GACGAACGCUGGCGGCGUGCCUAAUACAUGCAAGUUGAGCGCUGAAGGUUGGUACUUGUACCAACUGGAUGAGCAGCGAACGGGUGAGUAACGCGUGGGGAAUCUGCCUUUGAGCGGGGGACAACAUUUGGAAACGAAUGCUAAUACCGCAUAAAAACUUUAAACACAAGUUUUAAGUUUGAAAGAUGCAAUUGCAUCACUCAAAGAUGAUCCCGCGUUGUAUUAGCUAGGUGGUGAGGUAAAGGCUCACCAAGGCGAUGAUACAUAGCCGACCUGAGAGGGUGAUCGGCCACAAUGGGACUGAGACACGGCCCAAACUCCUACGGGAGGCAGCAGUAGGGAAUCUUCGGCAAUGGACGAAAGUCUGACCGAGCAACGCCGCGGGAGUGAAGAAGGGUUUCGGAUCGGAAAACUCUGUUGGUAGAGAAGAACGUUGGUGAGAGUGGAAAGCUCAUCAAGUGACGGUAACUACCCAGAAAGGGACGGCUAACUACGUG